rnacentral:lncRNA from 1 species
GGGCUGCCUUCAGGUUUCUUUACUCUGAAUUCUCCGGGUAGGCAGGGUUCCUAUGCCAAAGUUUCUAUCCGUCCUUCUCUGUUCUCUCUCUUUCUUUUUCCUCAAGGUUUUGUUCCAAGGAAACCUCAGAGUGUUUGCUUCUCUUCCUUCUUUCUCCAGUAAAUCUCCCAGUGUAAACUCCAACCCUUUUUUCCUCUACUGAAACUUCAGUAUUUAUAGACUAAUUUCGUGGGUAAUGGGCUUGAAAUGAGGGAGACCCAAGUCCAAAAUAAUUUGUUAUAUUUUAUUUAUAUAUUUAUUUUAAUUAUUUAAUUA